AUGUUACAUUUCAAGAAUAAUGUUGCUAUUCACCCAGCAUUUAUUGUCCAACUUACUGAUCUCCUUUGGAGCAAACAAUGACUUCACAGCCAAAUCACAUUUGACAGUGACUUCAGGAGAAGUGCAGGCUUAUGUAAUUCAAACAGAGAGUUUGUGCAGAAAACGUCUCAAGUCAGGGAAGAAAAAUGCCAGAACUUUGGGAAAACUCUUAAAAAUUCUGCUGAAAUGUGGCACUUGCAGCUUCUCAUAUUCCACUGGUCAAGCAAGUCACAGAGCCAAGAGUGACAUCAAUAAGACACAGAAGUAUAUAUAGUAAUGGUCAUAGAUACAGUAUCCUCUUCCAGGUCUGCAAAUAAUGGCAGCAAUAGGAAAUGCUUCAAUUCAUUUAUGUACUGAGAAUCUGAAAUGAAAAUCAACAUACAGGAAGAAUGACUUUUGCAUCCUAUCUAAGCCAUCACUUAUUUAAGAUGUUGAAAACAAUAUUUUCUUGCACUAAUGUGAGCAUGGUACUCCCUAAUUUAGGACUGGUAAGUGCAACCUAACUGGAUAAAAUGGUGUCUAUUCAUUGUGUGAAAAUUCACAUACGUAUAUUAUAUGCAUCACAAUCUGCUAGAAAUUUUUUUUCUGCACCUAAACUUUUGAAUUACUUUACAUAUUACUCUGCUUAAUGUCUUGGCUUUAUUAAUUGGUUCAGCCAAUCAACUCUCUGACUUUGUCUGUAUCUCCUCCCUUACUUUCCACUUGUUUUCUCAGUUAGAGAAUUUUAUAGAGGUUUAUAUGUGUGAGAUUCAUGCUUUAGAUUAGUAAUUUAAAAAUCUGCCCCAAAAUAUUUGCCAUUUUUAGCUGUUUUUGCUAUUAUAGAUCACAAAUUACUGGUGCCAGGCCACACAACAUAAUAUGAUACACCUUUGUGCUCAGACCUGCAUUUGAGGGACGACUGACCUAGACCAAAUUUCUUGAAACCUUAAAGUGCAUCACCUGGAGAUCUUGUGCAAAUGCAGAUUCAAAUUCAGCCAUCUGUGUGAGUCUGAAGGCUUUGCAUUUCCAACAAGGUCCCAGGUGAUCUGAGGCCACAGGGUCCAAGAACCACAUUUUGAGUAGCAAGUCUAACUGACAGAAUUGUGAAUACUGAAGCUCAUGGGUGUGGCACCUUAUCUACAACUACGUUACUAAUUAGACGUGAAGGUCCUCCUGACACAUGGCUGAGUGAACGUUCCAUCCUACUGUGUGUAGCCACUGUUGUUUAUUUAGUUUUGUUCCUAAUGGAAAUUAUUCUGUGCCUCAAGCCAGGAGUUUAUUUGACUUCACCACAAGCUAAAAUUCCUUCAGAGAAGCUGGGUUCCAGGAUCUUAAAAUUAAAGGAGACAAUGUUUCCAGCACAGAAAUUUAUUUAUGUUGGUGGGGAUAAGUCUCUGGAUAGGUAGCAGUUUGUUCAUCUAUCAGAAAAGUCCCUUGGACGUGGCCCCAAGAGAAAUGGAAUGUUUUAAACUAUUGCAGGUGGGCACAGGAGCAAAGAGGGAGUGUCUUUAAGCACAAUACCUACAGCAAUGGAAUGCUGGCUCUUCUCUGAUUUACUCUCCUUACUAAUUCUAUAGUCAAGCAAAAGGAGAGGUGCAUGCCAACCAAAGAGGGGCAUAUUUUCAGGACUGCUUUUCUCUACUGGCCUCUCCCGUCUU
ensembl:lncRNA